UACGGGGGGAGCAAGCGUUGUUCGGAUUUACUGGGCGUAAAGGGCGCGUAGGCGGCGCAACAAGUCACUUGUGAAAUCUCCGGGCUUAACCCGGAGCGGCCAAGUGAUACUGUCGUGCUAGAGUGCGGAAGGGGCUACUGGAAUUCUCGGUGUAGCGGUGAAAUGCGUAGAUAUCGUUUGGAACGCCAAUGGUGAAAACAGGUUGCUGGGAGUGUGCUGACGCUGAGACACGAAAGCCAGGGGAGCGAACGGG
rnacentral:rRNA from 1 species